UGGGCAGGUUCAUUUCUGGGGAGCUGGCUAUUAUCUUGUGAGCCGACAGGAUGCCUGCGGCCGUGAAGCCCCGCGCCAGAGCAUAGGCCAGCUGGCCGGCCCCGAUGAAGCCCACGCUCAUGGUCCGCGGUUCACGCCUCCUGGGAGCCGCACGAACCCCCUCAGCGAGGGACCGGAAGUAACGCUAGGGGAAGGGCGGACAGCGCAGGGGCGAACGGGCGGCGUGCCGAGGACCGGCGAGCUAACAGCAGCUUCUGGGAUGGUGCAACCCUAUUCUCCCCCGGCGGAUAUCUCCCGGGCGGCUG
rnacentral:lncRNA from 1 species